GGAAAAAAAGGGUAAAAACCCGGCGAAAGGUUAAUUUUUUUUUUUCCUUCGGGGGUUUUUUUA
rnacentral:tRNA from 1 species